rnacentral:rRNA from 1 species
GAUGAACGCUGGCGGCGUGCCUAAUACAUGCCAGUCGAGCGAACAGAUAAGGAGCUUGCUCCUUUGACGUUAGCGGCGGACGGGUGAGUAACACGUGGAUAACCUACCUAUAAGACUGGGAUAACUUCGGGAAACCGGAGCUAAUACCGGAUAACAUAUUGAACCGCAUGGUUCAAUAGUGAAAGGCGGCUUUGCUGUCACUUAUAGAUGGAUCCGCGCCGUAUUAGCUAGUUGGUAAGGUAACGGCUUACCAAGGCAACGAUACGUAGCCGACCUGAGAGGGUGAUCGGCCACACUGGAACUGAGACACGGUCCAGACUCCUACGGGAGGCAGCAGUAGGGAAUCUUCCGCAAUGGGCGAAAGCCUGACGGAGCAACGCCGCGUGAGUGAUGAAGGGCUUCGGAUCGUAAAACUCUGUUAUCAGGGAAGAACAAAUGUGUAAGUAACUGUGCACAUCUUGACGGUACCUGAUCAGAAAGCCACGGCUAACUACGUGC